GACGAACGCUGGCGGCGUGCUUAACACAUGCAAGUCGAACGGAAAGGCCCUGCUUUUGUGGGGUGCUCGAGUGGCGAACGGGUGAGUAACACGUGAGUAACCUGCCCUUGACUUUGGGAUAACUUCAGGAAACUGGGGCUAAUACCGGAUAGGAGCUCCUGCUGCAUGGUGGGGGUUGGAAAGUUUCGGCGGUUGGGGAUGGACUCGCGGCUUAUCAGCUUGUUGGUGGGGUAGUGGCUUACCAAGGCUUUGACGGGUAGCCGGCCUGAGAGGGUGACCGGCCACAUUGGGACUGAGAUACGGCCCAGACUCCUACGGGAGGCAGCAGUGGGGAAUAUUGCACAAUGGGCGGAAGCCGGAGGCAGCAACGCCGCGUGCGGGAUGACGGCCUUCGGGGUGUAAACCGCUGUCGCCUGUGACGAAGCGUGAGUGACGGUAAUGGGUAAAGAAGCACCGGCUAACUACGUG
rnacentral:rRNA from 1 species